CGGUAGGUCGUAUAGCGGCAAUUACGGAUGACUGUAAAUCAUUUGCUUUCGGGCUUCGAAGGUUCGAGUCCUUCCCUACCGA
rnacentral:tRNA from 1 species